UACGUAGGGGGCAAGCGUUGUCCGGAUUUAUUGGGCGUAAAGAGCGUGUAGGCGGUUAGGUAGGUCCGUUGUGAAAACUCGAGGCUCAACCUCGAGACGCCGAUGGAAACCAUCUGACUAGAGUCCGGAAGAGGAGAGUGGAAUUCCUGGUGUAGCGGUGAAAUGCGUAGAUAUCAGGAGGAACACCCAUGGCGAAGGCAGCUCACUGGACGGUAUGACGCUGAGACGCGAAAGCGUGGGGAGCAAACAGG
rnacentral:rRNA from 1 species